ACAGCUCAAAUUUGAAAUCUGGCUCUUCUAGGGUCCGAGUUGUAAUUUGUAGAAGAUGCUUUGGGUGUGGCUCCGGUCUAAGUUCCUUGGAACAGGACGUCAUAGAGGGUGAGAAUCCCGUAUGUGACUGGGUGCUUUCGCUCGUGUAAAGCUCUUUCGACGAGUCGAGUUGUUUGGGAAUGCAGCUCAAAAUGGGUGGUAAAUUUCAUCUAAAGCUAAAUAUUGGCGAGAGACCGAUA
rnacentral:rRNA from 1 species